rnacentral:lncRNA from 10 species
AGUCCAAAGUAAGGACAAUUUUUCCCAAGUGAUUGAGUGGAGCAGCAAAUGCCUGUGAAAAUAGUAGAUAUAAAAAUAUCAGCAAGAGCCAAAAUUACAAGACUGUUUCUGAAAAUAUUCCGAAAGAAUGUUUAGAAAACAUCUUUUUCCAGGUAGACAGAGAGUUUGUGAGGCUGCAUCAUUGGCAUCAUUUUAUCAUCACCAUCCCGCUCAGGAGCUCAAGAAGAGGGGAACUGAGUCAGUUAGAAUUACAGAGAAAAAAACAUAGUAUAUAUAAGGUUCUGGAGCUGAAAAAUACAAUGAACAAAGUGAAAAGUGAAACAGAGACUAUCAGCAGCAGAAUUAGUCAAGCAAAAGAAAGAAUCUGCAAAAUUGAAGAUGAGUUAUUUGAAAAUAUACAGUGAGAAGAGGAAAAAGAAAACCAUUUUUAAAAAUGAAGAAAGCUUACAGGAAUUAUGAGACAGCAUCAACAGACCAAAAGUUUGAGUCACUGGCAUUUUGGGUGAUAAUAAUUUCAGUUGGAGCCUCACUGGUAACCUUGCUCAGCCACACGACUGGAAUGUAAGAGGCUGGGGCAUUUUGGACAGCACAGAUGUUAAACGUGAACACUACCUUCUCAGUAGCACAAAUCUGACUACAUCUUUAAGUCUCCAAGAUUGAAGGAAAUGACUUUUAAAAGAAAAAGAGAAACAACUUCAUAUCUGUGUCUCAUCAAAUUCACAUCAUUCAUUAAUCUGGCUACACAUUGUUUUCUGAUGUGAAGUCACAGUGGAAAUGGAACUGCUGAUUAGGGAAGGCACAGAAUAAUUUUGAGGAACAUGAGGACAUGAGCAAUAGAGGAAACCUGGAGGAAGAGGGUGUGGCAUGUUGAAAUUUAAAAAGAAGCAAUGUGUAUUUGCAAGUCAAACC